UAAUGACUUUUCACCGUAAUGAGAUUUUAUGAAGAAAAUAAUAAUGUUCGCAUUGAUAUUAUUGGCCCUAAUACCUCCUGCACAUCAACAUUAUUUACUGGACGAUCUGCCAUAUUUGGAAGACCAGAACUGUGGCGAGUGCGAGCGCUUGUACGCACCGGUAUGUGGAACUGACAAUAGAACGUACAUAAAUAUUUGUAAAAUGAACUGCUACGCAUUUUUAGCACCACCUGAAGCUAGACCUAAAAUUUUCAUGUACGGACCUUGCGUAUUAUCUGGACGAAGAACCGAUAUAAUAGGCUACAAUGAAACUUUUCCUAUGAACGAAACUGAAAUAUCUAUACAAAAAUUCGAGGACAAAAAUGAUAGUAUGUCCUUCACUCCGAUUGAUCCUUCAAGAAAAACUAAACCGACUGAAAGAACAUUGAAGAAAUUCACAAAACCUGUAGAUUUUGAUGAAUAUUGAAGACUUUAAAUAUUAAGGUGUACAUUAAUGUUAUAGGUAUAGAUAAAUAUUUAUAAAAACUACAGGGGAAAAUAUUAUUUCAUGGAUUAGUCGACAAAAAUUAUACGAUACACUGGCUUAAGUGGC